CAUUUUCAGUGCAGUUGCACUUUCGGUUUCACCAUCACUACUAAUCACAGGAGCUUCAGUGUGGCUCGCCUCACUCUUCAGAGGCUUUGACAGGUGCUGCAGCAGAGACAUGUACAGAGGCUCGCCUCGGCAGCAGACCUGCACACAGCCACGCGGGGAAACUCCGCGUGAGGACACGCUCCUGGUGAAGGUGCACUUUGACAAGACGCUCAGGGGCGUCAAUUCAGAAAUCCGUAAAUUCAGAAUGAACAAAAACGGCCUCACGUUCACUGCGCUGGAGUCAAAAAUCCUACAGAUCUGCCAAGUCCAACUCAAGCAAGGCAAAGGCAUCGACAUCAAAUACAAAGAUGAAGAUGGAGACCUGGUGCUGUUCAGAUGUGACGAGGGUCUGAACAUUGCACUUGAAGAAUCCGCCACAAAUGGGAAAUUCACCAUUUUUGUUGAAGAAAACUAUAACCAUGGCUUCGGCUACUGACAGAGCACAAGAGCCCCUCGCUCGCCUGAGAAUCACCUGAGCAGGGACACACCGAUCGAGCUUAAAGUACCAGCCGAUCCCUGAUAUCGGCCGAUACCAGAGCAGAGACCGAAAUCGGC
ensembl:lncRNA